rnacentral:piRNA from 1 species
UGGAUUAGCAUGCGGCAGAGCUCAAA